rnacentral:rRNA from 1 species
GAUGAACGCUAGCUACAGGCUUAACACAUGCAAGUCGAGGGGCAUCAGGAAGAAAGCUUGCUUUCUUUGCUGGCGACCGGCGCACGGGUGAGUAACACGUAUCCAACCUGCCCUUUACUCGGGGAUAGCCUUUCGAAAGAAAGAUUAAUACCCGAUGGCAUAAUGAUUCCGCAUGGUUUCAUUAUUAAAGGAUUCCGGUAAAGGAUGGGGAUGCGUUCCAUUAGGUUGUUGGUGGGGUAACGGCCCACCAAGCCUUCGAUGGAUAGGGGUUCUGAGAGGAAGGUCCCCCACAUUGGAACUGAGACACGGUCCAAACUCCUACGGGAGGCAGCAGUGAGGAAUAUUGGUCAAUGGGCGCUAGCCUGAACCAGCCAAGUAGCGUGAAGGAUGAAGGCUCUAUGGGUCGUAAACUUCUUUUAUAUAAGAAUAAAGUGCAGUAUGUAUACUGUUUUGUAUGUAUUAUAUGAAUAAGGAUCGGCUAACUCCGUGCCAGCAGCCGCGGUAAUACGGAGGAUCCGAGCGUUAUCCGGAUUUAUUGGGUUUAAAGGGAGCGUAGGUGGACUGGUAAGUCAGUUGUGAAAGUUUGCGGCUCAACCGUAAAAUUGCAGUUGAUACUGUCAGUCUUGAGUACAGUAGAGGUGGGCGGAAUUCGUGGUGUAGCGGUGAAAUGCUUAGAUAUCACGAAGAACUCCGAUUGCGAAGGCAGCUCACUGGACUGCAACUGACACUGAUGCUCGAAAGUGUGGGUAUCAAACAGGAUUAGAUACCCUGGUAGUCCACACAGUAAACGAUGAAUACUCGCUGUUUGCGAUAUACAGUAAGCGGCCAAGCGAAAGCAUUAAGUAUUCCACCUGGGGAGUACGCCGGCAACGGUGAAACUCAAAGGAAUUGACAGGGGCCCGCACAAGCGGAGGAACAUGUGGUUUAAUUCGAUGAUACGCGAGGAGCCUUACCCGGGCUUAAAUUGCAGUGGAAUGAUGUGGAAACAUGUCAGUGAGCAAUCACCGCUGUGAAGGUGCUGCAUGGUUGUCGUCAGCUCGUGCCGUGAGGUGUCGGCUUAAGUGCCAUAACGAGCGCAACCCUUAUCUUUAGUUACUAACAGGUCAUGCUGAGGACUCUAGAGAGACUGCCGUCGUAAGAUGUGAGGAAGGUGGGGAUGACGUCAAAUCAGCACGGCCCUUACGUCCAGGGCUACACACGUGUUACAAUGGGGGGUACAGAAGGCAGCUAGCGGGUGACCGUAUGCUAAUCCCAAAAUCCUCUCUCAGUUCGGAUCGAAGUCUGCAACCCGACUUCGUGAAGCUGGAUUCGCUAGUAAUCGCGCAUCAGCCACGGCGCGGUGAAUACGUUCCCGGGCCU